rnacentral:rRNA from 1 species
UGCCGCGUGUGUGAAGAAGGCCUUCGGGUUGUAAAGCACUUUCAGUGGUGAGGAAGGCCUUGUAGUUAAUAGCUGCAAGGAUUGACGUUAGCCACAGAAGAAGCACCGGCUAACUCCGUGCCAGCAGCCGCGGUAAUACGGAGGGUGCGAGCGUUAAUCGGAAUUACUGGGCGUAAAGCGCACGUAGGCGGUUUGUUAAGCAAGAUGUGAAAGCCCAGGGCUCAACCUUGGAAUUGCAUUUUGAACUGGCAAGCUAGAGUUUUGAAGAGGGUGGUAGAAUUUCCAGUGUAGCGGUGAAAUGCGUAGAUAUUGGAAGGAAUACCAGUGGCGAAGGCGGCCACCUGGUCAAAAACUGACGCUGAGGAGCGAAAGCGUGGGGAGCAAACAGGAUUAGAUACCCUGGUAGUCCACGCCGUAAACGAUGUCAACUAGUUGUUCGUGUCUUUAAGACGUGAGUAACGCAGCUAACGCACUAAGUUGACCGCCUGGGGAGUACGGCCGCAAGGUUAAAACUCAAAUGAAUUGACGGGGGCCCGCACAAGCGGUGGAGCAUGUGGUUUAAUUCGAUGCAACGCGAAGAACCUUACCAUCCCUUGACAUCCAGAGAAUUUUCUAGAGAUAGAUUAGUGCCUU